UGGCUCAGUGGUAGAGUGCUUGCCUUGCAUGCAGGAGGCCCUGGGUUUGAUUCCUCAG
rnacentral:tRNA from 1 species